UUCCUGGUGGCUCAGAGGUUAAAGCAUCUGCCUCCAAUGCAGGAGAGCCAGGUUCAAUCCCUGGGUCAGGAAG
rnacentral:tRNA from 1 species